AACAGAAUUCCUGUGGGCGGAGUGUUUUUUGAAACUUCUCUCCAAGAAUGCAUGCAACUUAAGUAUUUCUUUACCAAAAGGGGAGGAGGAAUAGAAUGGUUUGCAACGUUGAAAAAAAAAAUGUUUUUCCCCUCUGAUUCCUUAUCCUUCCUCUCACAGAGGACCAGGAGAAGAAACCCGUGGCAAGGUACACCUGCCAGCGGUGCCCGGAGGAGUUGCUCAGCCUCCCUCGUGUCAGCCAGGAUGUAAAAGGGAGACCACCUGGCCUGCGUGCUCAGAAGCAUCAGAAUAUUUAGAAAUGGGCAGACGGUUGGUUGAAUUUUCUACCUUUUGGGGAACGUUUCAGUACCUUGUGGACAAGGCUCUUGGACUCCAUUUAAGCACCUUGUUAAGACCACUGAAUGAAUUUUGUUGUGCAAAACAAGAAGUAGUCACAUGGAUACUGCCCCUGAGCCCUGCCUAGGUGGUAGGCUUAGCUGGAUAGAGGUGGUUAGGGAUUUAACCUUUUUUUAAGAAUGAAAAACAUUUAAAAUUGGGAAAGAAAGUGGACUUUAUCUCCUUAAAUGGAAUGACUGUAGAACAGCAAAACCUUUUUCUAUCUCCAGCAGGGAACUGUGGCAGGAGACUACGAGCUUUAUGGGGAAUUACUGGUAUUAUCAAAGGCUUUUCAAAAUAGACUUGAAAUGAAUAGUUGUGUGCCUGUUUUAUUACUGCCUUGUGAGUUUACAUUUUGUUUUUUGUACAGUAUUUUUCUCCCCCUUAUGAGAUGGUUGCUAGGGCUUGCGAGCAAAUAACGUUUAUUGUGUUGAAUUUGGGACUGAACAUAAUUACCUUACAAUUGGGGUUCAUAGUGCCAUUUUUGACAGUUAUAUUAUGAGCUUUUUGAGGAAAAUUGAGCCCACAUGCUGUAAGCUGCUUCCUAUUCAGCUGCCCUUCAAGCUUUGGUGUCUCGGCUCUCCCUGCCCCCAUUCCUCUGCCGCGGGGCAGCCUCGGGACCAAAUGCUGCUGGAGGAAAACCAGACAAUCCAGUGUGGGUACCGCCAAGCUCCAGCACUGUCUCCUCUGAAAAGCCCCUUGUCCCCAGUGUGUUUUUCCGGAUGACUCCGUGGACAUGCGUCUCUAGGGAUGCUGCAGUUGGCUAUCACUACAGGCAUCCUGCCUUUCUCCUACCGGGAAAGUCGUGAGUAAACAGAAGUUUUGUAAACAGAAGUUUUGUAAAUCGAGUCAAUACUCCUAGCAACCUCCUUGACCAUUUCAGAGAUGCUUCAUCUUCAUUUCUGGCCGGUCUUUCGCUGGUAGCACUUCUUACCUAAUCUGUCCCAUAGCGUUUCUGUAAAGGAAGGUAAUGAGCGGUAAACAAACUCUUAAAUGCACCAGGGGAGCACAGUGCUUACAGAAAUCCUUCUUAAAUAAGUCUUUUUUUUUUUUUUUCCUGUUCCUUCCUAUUGCCCUAGCAGAAAUUUGGGUUCACCUAGAAGCAGACCUUGAGAUAAGGGUUUAAGUGCAAAUGGUGUAUUAGGGAGUUCAUGCCAGGGAACACCAGUAGGAGAGGGAAUUGAUAGUGGGAAGGGAAGGAAAGUCAACACAAGGUAUGUCAUGGAGCAGGUUACUACUUAGGCAAGGGCUGCUCAGUCCUGCGGGGGGUCUCUAGGAAACAGUGGAAAGACACACCUCAGAUUUGUGCCACCUGAGGGCGAAGAACCUGGGGCGUUUAUAUACUGGCUCCCUCAGUCACUGUUGGAGGGCUGCUUCUGGGGAGCGGGUGGGUAAUAAUAUCCUAGCGCUCUACCUUCUACUUGGGGAGGGGCUAUCGAAAUCCAAGAAAGCUCUUGGAUGGUAAAUGCUGGCAGUUGGAAGCCAAGACAAAUGUAAGUGGCUGAAACGUAAACGGCUGUGGGCAGGACACCAGCACAUCUGCUACACUUGGAUUCUCAGAAUGUGUGUGAGGAGGUGGCUUCUCCAUUGCUCCUGAGUGUCACUGCAACAACUCUUCUUUAUCGGUGCUCUUUGACUAUAAGGAAGCUGGCUGCCAUGUUGUAAACUGACCUACGGAGAGGCCCAUGUAACAAGGAACUGAAAUCUCCAGCCAACAGCCAGCAAGUACCUGAGGUCUGCUAACCACCACGUGAGUAAUCCUCCCCCCGUGGAGCCUGGAAACAACUGCAGCCCCUCCGAUAUCUUGACUGUAGCCGGUGAGAGACCCCAAGUCUGAGGCACCCAGCUAAGAUGCUCCUGGAUUCCUGAACCACAGAAACUGCAAAGGACAGCCCCCAACACCAAAGAAGUAUCCUGCCCACAGUGCCAGUAUGCCGAGCUUGAGAAACCCUGCGUUAGAGAGUCAGAAGAACCAUCUGUCUUGUUAAAGACAAGCACUACAGCCAUUUGGAAAAAACGGCACAGCCCCUGUCACCCUGGCCUCAAACAGAAGCCUGUCUAGUUUGGACCACUUCAAAUGCCUUGUCACCUCCAUUCUUUCUUUCUUAUAAUGCAUCAACCGGAGCUAUACGUUCCCUAUAAAGGUAAUAUUUUCUGUGUGUUUUUGUUCCUCAUUCUUCCUAAUAAUUUUGCAAAACUGGUAGGACUUUGGGGGCCAGAGUGUUUGCUGCACACUCUUGCACUGAACCCCAAGUCCUUUUUCUGGGUCACAACAGCUGGUUUGUAGUGGGCAGCGUCUCACCUUCUAUAGUUCGUACUUUUCCUCCCUGUCAUGCCCUUAUUCUCAGCAAAGUUUAUCUGCCAAGGUUUUGCCCACUCACCCAGCCUCAUUUGAUCUCACCCCCGUUGGCUUCUUGUUCAACACCCAGAAGGGCCGGAUGAGCUCUAAACACUUAGAGGUUUCACUGCCCCUUCUAGAUUGUCGGGGGAUCCCACCUGACUCAAGCCUCUCAGGGUUGCAGCUCUAAUGUGUCACUGCUAGAAUUUUUCUCUUCCGCAGGGGAUAAUUAAAUGAUACACUUAGAGGUUGCUUGCUCAUCCCUCCCAAGCAGAAUGAUGGAAUCUCACCUGGAAGCAGUGACAACCAGGAAAGGCGGAAGAAGGAUGUUUACCAGACACACAUGAACUCAGCUCCCCCAGAAGGUAGCACACAGGUACCUCAUUUCUGAACAGGUAGCAGAAGCCAGAUCCACAGUCACCCCAGGGCUGUGACUGGCUGGAGACGGGAUAUCUCGAGGUUUACCAGGAGGACCGGAAGCACUCCAAGUAUGUGG